rnacentral:rRNA from 1 species
GACGAACGCUGGCGGCGUGCUUAACACAUGCAAGUCGAACGAUGACGACCGAGCUUGCUCGGUCUGAUUAGUGGCGAACGGGUGAGUAACACGUGAGCAACCUGCCCUUCACUCUGGGAUAACCUCGGGAAAUCGGGGCUAAUACCGGAUAUGAGCUCCUGUCGCAUGGCGGGUGUUGGAAAGUUUUUCGGUGAAGGAUGGGCUCGCGGCCUAUCAGUUUGUUGGUGAGGUAGUGGCUCACCAAGGCGAUGACGGGUAGCCGGCCCGAGAGGGCGACCGGCCACACUGGGACUGAGACACGGCCCAGACUCCUACGGGAGGCAGCAGUGGGGAAUAUUGCACAAUGGGCGAAAGCCUGAUGCAGCGACGCCGCGUGAGGGAUGACGGCCUUCGGGUUGUAAACCUCUUUCAGCAGGGAAGAAGCGAAAGUGACGGUACCUGCAGAAGAAGCGCCGGCUAACUACGUG